rnacentral:rRNA from 1 species
CACGUAGGGUGCGAGCGUUUGUCCGGAAUUAUUGGGCGUAAAGAGCUCGUAGGCGGUGUGUCGCGUACGGCCCGUGAAAACUUGCAGCUUAACUGUGGGCGUGCGGUCGAUACGGGCAUCACUGGAGUUCGGCAGGGGAGACUGGAAUUCCUGGUGUAGCGGUGAAAUGCGCAGAUAUCAGGAGGAACACCGGUGGCGAAGGCGGGUCUCUGGGCCGAUGACUGACGCUGGAGGAGCGAAAGCGUGGGGAGCGAACAGG